rnacentral:misc_RNA from 1 species
CUUUGCCUUUCUAGUGCUUGCGUGAUGUUACCUGACCUAUGGGUAUUGGUGCUUCAUACAUAGUUGCCUCGUGGUGGACGCCUUUGGGUGUGCUGCUGCGGCCAUAUGGCGAUUGCGGCGUUGCCUCGUGGUGCUGGUUCUCGUGCCCGGUGCUAUCAAGGCAGCCUUGCUCUCGCUAUUGGUUUUGGAUGUUGCUCAUGAUAUAUAGCCUCGUGGCCCAUUUGGUUGCCUUUGGGGCCUGACCCUAAGAACGCUCUCCGACUUUGAGAACAUCGUUGAACGAAUGUUGCCUCUACCUUUCCACAGCAAGUGGUAAGAUUACACAGCAUACUCGAUUCCGAUCCCCAAAUAAGUCGGACGAGCAAGACCCUAAGAACGCUCUCCGACUUUGAGAACAUCGUUGAACGAAUGUUGCCUCUACCUUUCCACAGCAAGUGGUAGGAUUACGCAGCAUACUCGAUUCCGAUCCCCAAAUAAGUUGGACGAGCUUGGCCCGCUCAACAGCGACAACCGGCCCGACUGUUGCCUCCGCAUUGCCACGCAAGUGGCGGUGGGUGG